CGACAUAAACAAUCCUUCGGGUGCGCUUAUGGGCGGCGAGCGGCGGACGGGUGAGUAAUGCCUGGGAAUAUGCCCUGAUGUGGGGGAUAACCAUUGGAAACGAUGGCUAAUACCGCAUAAUCUCUUCGGAGCAAAGAGGGGGACCUUCGGGCCUCUCGCGUCAGGAUUAGCCCAGGUGAGAUUAGCUAGUUGGUGAGGUAAGAGCUCACCAAGGCGACGAUCUCUAGCUGGUCUGAGAGGAUGAUCAGCCACACUGGAACUGAGACACGGUCCAGACUCCUACGGGAGGCAGCAGUGGGGAAUAUUGCACAAUGGGGGAAACCCUGAUGCAGCCAUGCCGCGUGUGUGAAGAAGGCCUUCGGGUUGUAAAGCACUUUCAGUUGUGAGGAAGGCAUAUACGUUAAUAGCGUAUGUGUUUGACGUUAGCAACAGAAGAAGCA
rnacentral:rRNA from 1 species